AAACGUAGGAGGCGAGCGUUAUCCGGAUUUACUGGGUGUAAAGCGCGUGCAGGCGGUCGUGUAAGUGGUGCGUGAAAGCUCCCGGCUCAACCGGGAGAGGACGUGCCAAACUGCAGGGCUAGAGGCAGGUAGAGGCGUGUGGAAUUCCGGGUGUAGUGGUGAAAUGCGUAGAGAUCCGGAGGAACACCAGUGGCGAAGGCGACACGCUGGGCCUGGCCUGACGCUCAGACGCGAAAGCAUGGGGAGCGAACGGGAUUAGAAACCCCGGUAGUCCAUGCUGUAAACGAUGCUGACUAGGUGUUGCGGGUGAGAUACUCCGGCAGUGCCGAAGCCAACGUGGUAAGUCAGCCACCUGGGGACUACGGCCGCAAGGUUAAA
rnacentral:rRNA from 1 species